rnacentral:misc_RNA from 1 species
UUCCAUUAUUUUGGCCAUGGAUAUCCUUGUGCUAGGGUUUGGAUCCAGGAUGUUUGAUAGAAGCUCGCAUACUUCAGGUGCAAACCAACUGGGGGAUAUAAAUUCUGCCUUCGCAAUUUUCCUAUACAUCUCCAUGAGAUUUGUGUCAUAGAAUGGCAGAUCCCCAGCCAGUAGAACAUACAAAAUCACCCCACAUGACCAAAUAUCAGCUUU